GAUGAAGAACGCAGCGAAAUGCGAUAAGUAAUGUGAAUUGCAGAAUUCAGUGAAUCAUCGAAUCUUUGAACGCACAUUGCGCCCGCCAGUAUUCUGGCGGGCAUGCCUGUUCGAGCGUCAUUUCAACCAUCAAGCCCCAGGCUUGAGUUGGGGACCUGCGGCUGCCGCAGGCCCUGAAAACCAGUGGCGGGCUCGCUGUCACACCGGGCGUAGUAGAUUUUAUCUCGCUCAGGGCGUGCUGCGGGUUCCGGCCGUUAAAAAGCCUUUUUUACCCAAGGUUGACCUCGGAUCAGGUAGGAAGACCCGCUGAACUUAAGCAUAUCAAUAAGCGGAGGA
rnacentral:misc_RNA from 1 species